GGGGAUUUAGCUCAGUGGUAGAGCGCUUGCCUAGGAAGGGUAAGGCCCUGGGUUCGGUUCCCAGCUCCA
rnacentral:tRNA from 1 species